CACACACCAACUUGAAUUCAAAUAUACAGGGGAUCUUCCCAACCCAGGGAUCGAACCCAGGUCUCCCACAUUGCGAGCAGAUGCUUUACCCUCUGAGUCACCAGGGAAUCCCUGCCUAGAAGAGAUUUGCAUUUAAAUCAGUGGACUGACUAAAGAAGACUGCAAUCAACAAAGUGGGUGGGCAUCACCCAAUCCAUUGAGGGCCUGAAUAGAACAAAAACAUUCAUUCUGCAUGAGCUGAAACAUUCAUGUUCUCUGUCUUUGGACACCAGCAGUACUCAGACAGGGAUUUAUACUAUUGGCCACCCCCGCUCUCCACCAAUUCUCUCUCAGGCCUCUGGACUCAGACUGAAUUACAUCACUGGCUUUCCUUAUUCAUUUGCUUGACCAUGGAACUUUUCGGCCUCUAACACCAUGUGAACCAAUAC
ensembl:lncRNA